rnacentral:rRNA from 1 species
UUGGAGGGCAAGUCUGGUGCCAGCAGCCGCGGUAAUUCCAGCUCCAAUAGCGUAUAUUAAAGUUGUUGCAGUUAAAAAGCUCGUAGUUGAACUUCGGGGUUCACCCAUUGGUCAGGCUUAAUUGUCUGUACUGGUGAGAUAAAUCUCUACCUUCUGAGGAACUUUCAUGCCAUUUAUUUGGUGUGAUUGGAAAUCAGGACUGUUACUUUGAAAAAAUUAGAGUGUUUAAAGCAGGCUAACGUCUGAAUACAUUAGCAUGGAAUAAUGAAAUAGGACGGACUGAUUCUAUUUCGUUGGUUUCUAGGAUCACCGUAAUGAUUAAUAGGGAUAGUUGGGGGCAUUAGUAUUCAAUUGCCAGAGGUGAAAUUCUUGGAUUUAUUGAAGACUAACUACUGCGAAAGCAUUUGCCAAGGAUGUUUUCAUUAAUCAAGAACGAAAGUUAGGGGAUCGAGGACGAUCAGAUACCGUCGUAGUCUUAACCAUAAACUAUGCCGACUAGGGAUCGGACGAGGUUAAUUUUAUAAUGACGCGUUCGGCAGCCUUACGGGAAAC